rnacentral:tRNA from 1 species
UCCCUGGUGGCUCAGACGGUAGAGCGUCUGCCUGCAAUGCAGGAGACCCGGGUUCGAUCCCUGGGUUGGGAA